rnacentral:pre_miRNA from 1 species
CACCAAAAGUAGCUGAAGCUGCCAGCAUGAUCUGAUCACAGGAUAGCAAUCAGAUCAUGCUAGUAGUUCCAUCUGCUGUUGGG